GUGGUUGCAUCAGACGGGCGCGGACAGAUGUUGGAGCGCAUCUGGCGGAGCGCGGCUGCGGCGGGGCUGCGAGGGGGACACGCAUUGCUAUCCUAAAGCUAACGGCGUUUGUGCAUCGUUCCUGUGCUUAACACCGCUGCUGCCGUGGGGGGUCAGAUCUGCCGGGGAAAACACAAAGGAAAACAAAGCUCCGAGUCAGAUAUAGACAUUCCAGGAGUCAGUGCAAUGACAUUACCGGCGCACAGAAACUCUGCCGGGGCAGAGCCUGCAAACCCCAUAAUUAGAUGAGUAAUCCUCAUGUGAGUGCUGAAGUCAUUGGGCCCGGAUCACUUGAUGUGUGCACCACAGGACUUUUGGAAAAGGAGCCCCAUGCAAUACCAUCCCUGUGAGGCAGAGUCCGUGUGGACACAUUUAUCUGCCUGUAUUAAUCCCCCUCUGCUCCAUGGGGACCUGGAGUGCCUGUAAUGUUCCCUUGUGAGGGAGCUGGAAGCCUGCAGCAGUGAAGACAGAUUGAUUUUGGGGAGGAAGUAGGAAAAGACACAUCUUCAAAACACCAUUUUGGAGGGAGGUGGAUGGUGCAUCAUCCCUAGGACUCAAAACACACAAGUGACGCUGCAGGGGAAUAAUUUUCAGGAUAUCAUGUUUGGGGGGAAAACAUAAUCUUUUCCAAGGGGCCUAGUGGGAAGUUCUAAUAAAACCCAAACUUGAACUGGAAAA